rnacentral:rRNA from 1 species
AGAGUUUGAUCCUGGCUCAGAAUCAACGCUGGCGGCGUGCCUAACACAUGCAAGUCGAACGCGAAAGUCCCGCAAGGGAUCAGUAGAGUGGCAAACGGGUGAGUAACGCGUGGGCGACCUACCUUCGAGUGGGGGAUAACCUUCCGAAAGGAGGGCUAAUACCGCAUGACAUCCCGUGUUUGGAUACACGGACAUCAAAGCCGGGGAUCGCAAGACCUGGCGCUUGGAGAGGGGCCCGCGUCCGAUUAGCUAGUUGGUGAGGUAACGGCUCACCAAGGCUCCGAUCGGUAUCCGGCCUGAGAGGGCGGACGGACACACUGGGACUGAGACACGGCCCAGACUCCUACGGGAGGCAGCAGUGGGGAAUUGUUCGCAAUGGGCGCAAGCCUGACGACGCUACGCCGCGUGGAGGAUGAAGACCUUCGGGUCGUAAACUCCUUUCGACCGAGAUGAAUUCCCGCCGACCUAACACGUCGGCGGGGUGACAGAUCGAGAAGCAGCCCCCGUU